AUUGAACGCUGGCGGCAGGCCUAACACAUGCAAGUCGAGCGGAUGAAGGGAGCUUGCUCCUGGAUUCAGCGGCGGACGGGUGAGUAAUGCCUAGGAAUCUGCCUGGUAGUGGGGGAUAACGUCCGGAAACGGGCGCUAAUACCGCAUACGUCCUGAGGGAGAAAGUGGGGGAUCUUCGGACCUCACGCUAUCAGAUGAUCCUAGGUCGGAUUAGCUAGUUGGUGGGGUAAUGGCCUACCAAGGCGACGAUCCGUAACUGGUCUGAGAGGAUGAUCAGUCACACUGGAGCUGAGACACGGUCAAGACUCCUACGGGAGGCAGCAGUGGGGAAUAUUGGACAAUGGGCGAAAGCCUGAUCCAGCCAUGCCGCGUGUGUGAAGAAGGUCUUCGGAUUGUAAAGCACUUUAAGUUGGGAGGAAGGGCAGUAAGUUAAUACCUUGCUGUUUUGACGUUACCAACAGAAUAAGCACCGGCUAACUUCGUG
rnacentral:rRNA from 1 species